rnacentral:rRNA from 1 species
UACGUAGGGUGCAAGCGUUGGCCGGAUUUAUUGGGCGUAAAGAGCUCGUAGGCGGCUUGGCAAGUCGGGUGUGAAAGCUUCAGGCUCAACCUGGAGAUGCCACCCGAUACUGCUAUGGCUUGAGUCCGGUAGGGGACCACGGAAUUCCUGGUGUAGCGGUGAAAUGCGCAGAUAUCAGGAGGAACACCGGUGGCGAAGGCGGUGGUCUGGGCCGGCACUGACGCUGAGGAGCGAAAGCGUGGGUAGCAAACAGG